rnacentral:lncRNA from 1 species
UUUUUUUUUUUGAAAUUAUAAUGUUUUAUUUGAAUUUUACAUUUGUUAGAGAUACAUGAAGUACCGGUACCUUAUCCCGGCCUCGUUAACGUUAGUAUAUAGCAUUUCAUUGAUAAGUUAGUACUUGUUAGUGCACAAUAUAUAUAUAUAUAUAUAUAUAGUAAUAAUGACAUGUAUGUAACGGAAUAGAAAUAUGAUAACAUGAUGUAUUAUAAAUUCUAAUUUAUGAAAUUAAUUUAAUUUUUG